CGGUAAAGUCGGUGCCAGCGGCGGCGGGAAAACGGGGUGGGCAAGCGUUAUCCGGAUUUAUUGGGUUUAAAGGGGCCGUAGGCGGACCGGUAAGUCAGUGGUGAAAGCCUAAAGCUUAACGGUAGAACUGCGGUUGAUACUGUCGGUCUUGAGUGUGGUUGAGGUAGCUGGAAUGAGUAGGGUAGCGGUGAAAUGCAUAGAUAUUACUCAGAACACCAAUUGCGAAGGCAGGUUACCAAGUCACAACUGACGCUGAUGGACGAAAGCGUGGGGAGCGAACAGGAUUAGAUCCCCCGGUAGC
rnacentral:rRNA from 1 species